CUGACUUCCGUCAUUUCUAGUACAGCAACCAGCCUGACAGCAAGUUCUGGGAACGCUGCAGACCACAAAGUUGCUCAGGGUCUUUCUUUAAAAUUCGCCAUUAAAUGACUGAAGUAGUGAGAUUCCCAGGUUAUGUCAGUGUUGAAGUUUCCAUCAGUAAGUUGUAACUACGACGACCUGCGUGGAGUUUGCUAUAAGGCCACGUCAUACUAUGUCUGUGAAGAAAACCAGAAUAAGUCUGGGCAGACGUCAAGGGGAACAGUUUGCGAUAUGGAGUCGUCUUGACGCUCGGUCGAUAGGUGAAGCCAACUGCAAGCCGAGUUGGCGGGUACAGCCGUACAGGGAACUGACAACUGACUCGCAGGGUUACCGCAAAGUCCGCACAUCACCGAGAAAUUAUAGCUCCGCACCGGGAUGUGUAGUGUUAAUUUCCACUUCCUAGCAUACUUAUAUCGAAACUUAUUCGGUUAUAAUCAGUUAAAUCACUUCAACUAAUGCAAUUGCCUAAUGCAUAUUUGCAGUUGUUUUCUCAAAAUAAAUAAGUAAAUAAAUAAAUAAAAUAAAAACUCAUUAAACAUGACUAAGUUUACAAUAAUGUAAGUCAGCCUUCAC